CUUCAUAUCCUUAAUUUCCCAGGGGUAGCACUGGUGAUCAAAUUUUCUUUGCUGUUAAACUAAUCCACAUGCUAUUUAAUAGCCCUAGUCUCUCUGCUGCAGCAUUGUUCUAUACAUGGAUCUUCAAAGAUGGUCCGGCGAGCUGUUCGAUAUUCGGCAUUGUGUUUUUCAGCAUGCAAAUAUAUGCUGCAAGAUGUGUGUUGCUGGAACAUUGUAGAAUUCCUUAUAGGAAGAAUAUUCUGGACGUGAUGACGAGUUUAACAAAGUUGUAUUCUUUUGACAGAGAAUAUCAGACUUCAAAAUGAAUCAUUUUUAAUCACUUUAUCUGGUUGGUGUUUGGACGAUUAUGUUAAUGUUGAUUGGUAUUUGCAUUAUGGCUUAGAGUGGUACAGCAUAGAAUUUCAUAGAGAAUUAAAUAUAAGUCAAAACUGUUAAUAUUGCAUUUCUAUCUGAAAUGUUGGUAGUAGUUGGUAUUCAGUUUAUGUUUCUUUAGUUCAUUUAUCAGACAAGUUAUUAAAUUGGUUUUCGAGAUACUUACUACAAUUUGAGUCUUAUUGUUUGUUUUAAUUAUGAAUUGGUUUCUGAUGUUUUCUGUUUAUUUUAGAUUUUGAGUUUUUUCUUUCAUUACUAAUGUUGGUCCAGCGCUAAGAGAAGUAAAGUUGCAGUGCUUGGUGGAGAAUUAACUGGCUCUUGGAUAGCUACAACAUUGAUUCCUUUUUAUUACCUAGUGAUCCUUCUAGAAGAAAAUGAGAAGUACUUCUAGGCUGCAAAUGAUAAGAGUUCAAAUCAACUUGCAAUAGUGUGUCAAAGAAGGGAACACCCUAUUUGUAGUUGAUAACUACACAAAGGAAUAGUAACAGUAAUAAUAAGAAGAAAUUAAUAGUAUCCUAAGGACAUGAUUGGAUGAAUUGUAUAAUGAUUUAUUAAUGUUGACUAUAGUUUGGUAUGUACAAAAUUUAUUAAUGUUCAAAUUUAACUAUGUUUGGAUGAUAAUCUAUUAAGAUUUG
rnacentral:lncRNA from 1 species